UCAGUCGACUCCUACGGGGAGGCAGCAGUGGGGAAUAUUGCACAAUGGGGGAAACCCUGAUGCAGCCAUGCCGCGUGUGUGAAGAAGGCCUUCGGGUUGUAAAGCACUUUCAGUAGGGAGGAAGGUAGUGUAGUUAACACCUGCAUUAUUUGACGUUACCUACAGAAGAAGCACCGGCUAACUCCGUGCCAGCAGCCGCGGUAAUACGGAGGGUGCGAGCGUUAAUCGGAAUUACUGGGCGUAAAGCGCAUGCAGGCGGCCUGUUAAGUCAGAUGUGAAAGCCCGGGGCUUAACCUCGGAAUUGCAUUUGAAACUGGCAGGCUAGAGUCUUGUAGGAGGGGGGUAGGAAUUUCAGGUGUAGCGGUGAAAUGCGUAGAGAUCUGAAGGAAUACCAGUGGCGAAGGCGGCCCCCUGGACAAAGACUGACGCUCAGAUGCGAAAGCGUGGGGAGCAAACAGGAUUAGAUACCCUGGUAG
rnacentral:rRNA from 1 species